AAAUUGAAGAGUUUGAUCAUGGCUCAGAUUGAACGCUGGCGGCAGGCCUAACACAUGCAAGUCGAGCGGAAACGAGUUAACUGAACCUUCGGGGGACGUUAACGGCGUCGAGCGGCGGACGGGUGAGUAAUGCCUAGGAAAUUGCCCUGAUGUGGGGGAUAACCAUUGGAAACGAUGGCUAAUACCGCAUAAUGCCUUCGGGCCAAAGAGGGGGACCUUCGGGCCUCUCGCGUCAGGAUAUGCCUAGGUGGGAUUAGCUAGUUGGUGAGGUAAGGGCUCACCAAGGCGACGAUCCCUAGCUGGUCUGAGAGGAUGAUCAGCCACACUGGAACUGAGACACGGUCCAGACUCCUACGGGAGGCAGCAGUGGGGAAUAUUGCACAAUGGGCGCAAGCCUGAUGCAGCCAUGCCGCGUGUAUGAAGAAGGCCUUCGGGUUGUAAAGUACUUUCAGCAGUGAGGAAGGUGGUGUAGUUAAUAACUGCAUCACUUGACGUUAGCUGCAGAAGAAGCACCGGCUAACUCCGUGCCAGCAGCCGCGGUAAUACGGAGGGUGCGAGCGUUAAUCGGAAUUACUGGGCGUAAAGCGCAUGCAGGUGGUUUGUUAAGUCAGAUGUGAAAGCCCGGGGCUCAACCUCGGAAUUGCAUUUGAAACUGGCAGACUAGAGUACUGUAGAGGGGGGUAGAAUUUCAGGUGUAGCGGUGAAAUGCGUAGAGAUCUGAAGGAAUACCGGUGGCGAAGGCGGCCCCCUGGACAGAUACUGACACUCAGAUGCGAAAGCGUGGGGAGCAAACAGGAUUAGAUACCCUGGUAGUCCACGCCGUAAACGAUGUCUACUUGGAGGUUGUGGCCUUGAGCCGUGGCUUUCGGAGCUAACGCGUUAAGUAGACCGCCUGGGGAGUACGGUCGCAAGAUUAAAACUCAAAUGAAUUGACGGGGGCCCGCACAAGCGGUGGAGCAUGUGGUUUAAUUCGAUGCAACGCGAAGAACCUUACCUACUCUUGACAUCCAGAGAAGCCAGUAGAGAUACAGGUGUGCCUUCGGGAACUCUGAGACAGGUGCUGCAUGGCUGUCGUCAGCUCGUGUUGUGAAAUGUUGGUUAAGUCCCGCAACGAGCGCAACCCUUAUCCUUGUUUGCCAGCGAGUAAUGUCGGGAACUCCAGGGAGACUGCCGGUGAUAAACCGGAGGAAGGUGGGGACGACGUCAAGUCAUCAUGGCCCUUACGAGUAGGGCUACACACGUGCUACAAUGGCGCAUACAGAGGGCAGCAAGCUAGCGAUAGUGAGCGAAUCCCAAAAAGUGCGUCGUAGUCCGGAUUGGAGUCUGCAACUCGACUCCAUGAAGUCGGAAUCGCUAGUAAUCGUGGAUCAGAAUGCCACGGUGAAUACGUUCCCGGGCCUUGUACACACCGCCCGUCACACCAUGGGAGUGGGCUGCAAAAGAAGUAGGUAGUUUAACCUUCGGGAGAACGCUUACCACUUUGUGGUUCAUGACUGGGGUGAAGUCGUAACAAGGUAGCCCUAGGGGAACCUGGGGCUGGAUCACCUCCUUA
rnacentral:rRNA from 1 species